AUUAUUUUGGCAGAUUAGUGCAUUAAAUUUAGAAUUUAAUUAUGUGAUUAUAUUACAAAUAAU
rnacentral:tRNA from 1 species